UCUUUAUGGGGUGACUGCGUACCUUUUGUAUAAUGGGUCAGCGACUUAUAUUCUGUAGCAAGGUUAACCGAAUAGGGGAGCCGAAGGGAAACCGAGUCUUAACUGGGCGUUAAGUUGCAGGGUAUAGACCCGAAACCCGGUGAUCUAGCCAUGGGCAGGUUGAAGGUUGGGUAACACUAACUGGAGGACCGAACCGACUAAUGUUGAAAAAUUAGCGGAUGACUUGUGGCUGGGGGUGAAAGGCCAAUCAAACCGGGAGAUAGCUGGUUCUCCCCGAAAGCUAUUUAGGUAGCGCCUCGUGAAUUCAUCUCCGGGGGUAGAGCACUGUUUCGGCAAGGGGGUCAUCCCGACUUACCAACCCGAUGCAAACUGCGAAUACCGGAGAAUGUUAUCACGGGAGACACACGGCGGGUGCUAACGUCCGUCGUGAAGAGGGAAACAACCCAGACCGCCAGCUAAGGUCCCAAAGUCAUGGUUAAGUGGGAAACGAUGUGGGAAGGCCCAGACAGCCAGGAUGUUGGCUUAGAAGCAGCCAUCAUUUAAAGAAAGCGUAAUAGCUCACUGGUCGAGUCGGCCUGCGCGGAAGAUGUAACGGGGCUAAACCAUG
rnacentral:rRNA from 1 species